rnacentral:rRNA from 1 species
AAUGAACGUUGGCGGCGUGGAUUAGGCAUGCAAGUCGAGCGAGAAUCGUAGCAGUACGAGGACAGCGGCGCAAGGGACAGUAAUGUGUAGAUUAUCUGCCCUCAGGUCCGGGAUAGCUGCGGGAAACUGCAGGUAAUACCGGAUAACAUCUCCGGAUCAAAGGUGUGAUUCCGCCUGAGGAUGAGUCUGCAUCCUAUUAGCUAGUUGGCAGGGUAACGGCCUACCAAGGCAUUGAUGGGUAGCGGGGGUGAGAGCACGACCCGCGUCAUUGGGACUGCGACACUGCCCAGACACCUACGGGUGGCUGCAGUCGAGAAUCUUCGGCAAUGGGCGCGAGCCUGACCGAGCGACGCCGCGUGUGGGAUGAAGGCCUUCGGGUUGUAAACCACUGUUAGAGGGGAUGAAAUGCAGGUGGGUUCUCCCAUCUGUUUGACAUAGCCUCAGAGGAAGGACGGGCUAAGUUCGUGCCAGCCGCCGCAGUAAUAC